GACAAUGGGCGAAAGCCUGAUCUAGCCAUGCCGCGUGCAGGAUGACGGCCCUAUGGGUUGUAAACUGCUUUUAUACAGGAAGAAAAAACUCUACGUGUAGAGUCUUGACGGUACUGUAAGAAUAAGGAUCGGCUAACUCCGUGCCAGCAGCCGCGGUAAUACGGAGGAUCCAAGCGUUAUCCGGAAUUAUUGGGUUUAAAGGGUCCGUAGGUGGACAAUUAAGUCAGAGGUGAAAUCCUGCAGCUCAACUGUAGAAUUGCCUUUGAAACUGGUUGUCUUGAGUCAUUAUGAAGUGGUUAGAAUGUGUAGUGUAGCGGUGAAAUGCAUAGAUAUUACACAGAAUACCAAUUGCGAAGGCAGAUCACUAAUAAUGUACUGACACUGAUGGACGAAAGCGUGGGUAGCGAACAGGAUUAGAUACCCUGGUAGUCCACGCCGUAAACGAUGGUUACUAGCUGUUCGGACUUCGGUCUGAGUGGCUAAGCGAAAGUGAUAAGUAACCCACCUGGGGAGUACGUUCGCAAGAAUGAAACUCAAAGGAAUUGACGGGGGCCCGCACAAGCGGUGGAGCAUGUGGUUUAAUUCGAUGAUACGCGAGGAACCUUACC
rnacentral:rRNA from 1 species